GACGAACGCUGGCGGCGUGCCUAAUACAUGCAAGUUGAGCGCUGAAGGUUGGUACUUGUACCAACUGGAUGAGCAGCGAACGGGUGAGUAACGCGUGGGGAAUCUGCCUUUGAGCGGGGGACAACAUUUGGAAACGAAUGCUAAUACCGCAUAAAAACUUUAAACACAAGUUUUAAGUUUGAAAGAUGCAAUUGCAUCACUCAAAGAUGAUCCCGCGUUGUAUUAGCUAGUUGGUGAGGUAAAGGCUCACCAAGGCGAUGAUACAUAGCCGACCUGAGAGGGGGAUCGGCCACGUUGGGACUGAGACACGGCCCAAACUCCUACGGGAGGCAGCAGUAGGGAAUCUUCGGCAAUGGACGAAAGUCUGACCGAGCAACGCCGCGUGAGUGAAGAAGGUUUUCGGAUCGUAAAACUCUGUUGGUAGAGAAGAACGUUGGUGAGAGUGGAAAGCUCAUCAAGUGACGGUAACUACCCAGAAAGGGACGGCUAACUACGUG
rnacentral:rRNA from 1 species